ACUAGUUUCAAAAGUGAUCACUUGACAAAGGCACAAAGAGCAGCUGUAAAAGUAAAUCCUCCUUUGCAGCCCAGAACUCAGUGUUCAAUUGAGUUUUGGUACACAUAGGAAGGGACAUG